AAGUCAUGGACAGCCGAGGACAACUCUAUCAAGAGCUUUGAUUUCAACCACAGUCGAAAUCCAGUGAACGUCACUCUGAUUGGCUGAGGCAGCAUAUCAUCAUAACCCAACCUGUAACGCCAGCCACUCUGAUAGGCCGAGGCAACAUGCGAGCCAUGUGGCGCGAGCGGCGCGAUUCAGCGUGUUUUUCACAUGGUUGGUUUUUCAAGCAGAAAAUAACGGCACAGAUGCAAAACCCCAAUAAAGGAAGCAGAAAAUAACGGCACAGAUAUUCAGCCUACAUCGCCGUCAUGAUCACUGGUGAACCCAUCUCCUCUAAAUUGAAGGUGCUGUAAGGAGUGAGGUGCCCUUCCCUGAUAGGAGAAAAAACACCUAAACAAGGUAACGUUACGUGUUGUGAUCUCAUCCUCUUUUCUUUUGAUCAGGCCCCAGUCAAAUAAACAGUAAAACUAAACUAAUUUGGUAUUAACGUCUGUGUUUACGGAUGACUUUGAGAGUAAGACAGUGGUGAAAACGCCAAAGAGAACUGGAACAUGGCAUGUUAUUCAUUAAUGUUUGGCCAAGUUUAAAUGUUACUAGGUCCAGUGUUCGAUUCACCAUCAGGUCCUGCACAGAGAUUGUUCGAGGCACACCUUCAGGUCCAGACAUGAUGGGUCACGGCACGUACAGUGAUGGAAUAACCAUAUGGAACUAAUAAAUCCAUGAAGACCGAUCCCGUAGUGAUGCCCCCAGUCCCCCGCCCAGGUCCAGACAUGAUAAAAGAGUACAGCGCAGUGAUCUCAGCACAUGACAGGCACGAUGCAGUGACUGAGACUGGGAGAUGCAGUGACUGAGACUGUGUUCCAGAAAAAUGUCCUGAAACUACUGGUCGACAUCCGCCAUCGCCUGAAGGAAACCAGAAGGGAUCAUGAAAUUUGGUUCCAUAGCCACUGAGGUGUAUGUACAUCAAGGUGAACGUGUGUGAGCACCUCAAGCACGCGUCGCAAAGACUUGGAGGUGGAGGAUUCACUACGCCCCGAUGAGCCUACAGGACUUGAAUUAAGAGUUUUAAAGGGAUAGUUCACUUUAAAAUUAAUUUUUGAU